rnacentral:rRNA from 1 species
GACGCGUCCACUGCUAUAGUCAGCGUGUGUUAUCCCUGUCCGAAAGGAUUGGGUAAUCCGUUGAACCUUCUUCGUGCUUGGGACUGUGGCUUGGAACUAUUCCACAUGAACGAGGAAUUCCUAGUAAGUGCAAGUCAUAAGCUUGCGUUGAUUACGUCCCUGCCCUUUGUACACACCGCAA